rnacentral:misc_RNA from 1 species
GACUUAUCAACCACAUCAGAUGUUUUUGAUGUGGCUUGGAUAUGGGGGUUUCUUUUGCUGGCCAUUUCUUUUACAGAAGGUCAGCUCCCCUGAAAUGUAUUAGUGGUAUCUGAGCUGCUGCUAUAGGUGUGAUAAUUAUCUAUGCCUCUGGUAUGCUGCAUGAACAGAUUGCACCGCUUAUAACAAUUGAAUUUGACAA